rnacentral:rRNA from 1 species
CCUACGGGUGGCAGCAGUCGAGAAUCAUUCACAAUGGGGGAAACCCUGAUGGUGCGACGCCGCGUGGGGGAAUGAGGGUCUUCGGAUUGUAAACCCCUGUCAUGUGGGAGCAAAUUAAAAAGAUAGUACCACAAGAGGAAGAGACGGCUAACUCUGUGCCAGCAGCCGCGGUAAUACAGAGGUCUCAAGCGUUGUUCGGAAUCACUGGGCGUAAAGCGUGCGUAGGCUGUUUCGUAAGUCGUGUGUGAAAGGCGCGGACUCAACCCGCGGACGGCACAUGAUACUGCGAGACUAGAGUAAUGGAGGGGGAACCGGAAGUCUCGGUGUAGCAGUGAAAUGCGUAGAUAUCGAGAGGAACACUCGUGGCGAAGGCGGGUUCCUGGACAUUAACUGACGCUGAGGCACGAAGGCCAGGGGAGCGAAAGGGAUUAGAUACCCCAGUAGUC